CCUACGGGUGGCUGCAGUCGAGAAUCUUCGGCAAUGGGCGCAAGCCUGACCGAGCGACGCCGCGUGGAGGACGAAGGCCUUCGGGUUGUAAACUCCUGUCGAGGGGGAAAAAGGCCCCGCGAGGGGCUUGAUUGAUCCCUGGAGGAAGCACGGGCUAAGUUCGUGCCAGCAGCCGCGGUAAGACGAACCGUGCGAACGUUAUUCGGAAUCAUUGGGCUUAAAGCGCGUGUAGGCGGGUUCGUGCGUCCGACGCUGAAAUCCCCCGGCUCAACCGGGGAACGGGCGGGGAUACGACGAGCCUCGAGGGGCGUAGGGGGACCUGGAACUUCCGGUGGAGCGGUGAAAUGCGUUGAGAUCGGAAGGAACGCCCGUGGCGAAAGCGAGGUCCUGGACGCCUACUGACGCUGAGACGCGAAAGCCAGGGGAGCGAACGGGAUUAG
rnacentral:rRNA from 1 species